UGUCCCUGUCCAUGGCAGGGAGGUUGGAACCAGAUGACCUUUAAAGGUUCCUUCCAACCUAAACCAUUCUAUUCUGUGAAUCCUUUCUACACUUCUGCCUUUGGAUGGAAGAAUGUCUUCAUGGAACAACAUCCCCACCAUUCCCUGCCCACAGCAGCAGUUGGUCAGGCACCAAGGAGCAUGUAAUAUGCCUCAGUAAAUUAUUUUAAUUGACUAAAUAAAUUUUUUUGCUUCUGAAUAAAUGGCUAAAUUUUUAAUUAUACUUUCCAUCUUUGUGUCAGAAUCACUGUCUAUUGGUAGUGGCCAGUAUUUAGCAUGUGUCUCAGGCAUGGUUUUUGACCACUAUGUUUAUUUUGCACACUUCUGGGUAGCUGCUUUUGGCUGGUGUCCUGGCAAAUUUUGGUCUCUGCAGGACUUGACCUUUAAAUGUACAGGCUGGCUAAACUACAACAGGAAAAGAAGAGGAACCCUGGCUGCUUUGCCUGCCAGCAGACUUGUUCAGGCUCCCUGCAUUCAGCUUGCCUUGAUUCAUGCAGAAAGGGGCAGCUAUAUCAGGCAAAGGGCCGUUUCCUUUCUGAGAGUUGGGAAGUUCCCUAGGCUUUGUUUCUUACAUAAGAAGUAAGACAGGGAGGUGUAGAGAAGUUUAAAUAACUGCUGCCAGGCAUUAGAACAAUCAUUCAUGAUUGUGGUUUCCCACUUGGUAUCAGUGAUGAUAAAACUCAGCUAAGCCUCUCCUCUGCUUCCCUCAAACAUUUUCCUUCUGUUACACUGAUACAGCUGUUUGUGUGUCCAUAUAGUGAAUUGGAUCAGGAACUGAUCCAGCUAAAAAUAACCAAGAGUAGACUGGGAAACCAUUACUUUUCAGCCAAUGAAAUUUCAAUCUGCAUCCCUCUAACAGCUGCACACAGAGCUGCACUGACACCACGAGCAGAGCUCAGGAGGAAGUGACCACAAGUACACACAGAAGAGGAGAUGAGGCUUUUGGAAGAAAAUAAGGUGGAACCAGAGCUCCAAUGGGAUAAGCAGAGUAGUACAAACCUGGCAGCUCCACUCCUUAGACGUACUUAGCAAGAGAUGAGCACAGAUUCCAGCUGUGUAACGUCCACUUGGAAAAGAUGCUGAAAUCGAACCUCUUCUGAGGAUACUCUUUGUGUGCAAAAAAGGGCACAUUUCUGUUUAAUGCCUUUGUUCUGCUUUCUCUUAACUCCCUGCUGCUCCCACCAGGCUGCUGUUUGAUGGCAUAGAUUGUAUGGUGGCAUUACCAACUUGAGGAAUCCUGAGAUGUUCGUUAUCACCCACCCAAGACUGCAAUUUUCCCUCACUUGUGCCAGUCUUGCUGUUUGUGGAGCUGUGCUGAACACUGGAUCAGGGAAGCAAUCCAAAUUAAAAAUAACCCAGUGGCAUGGCUGGCGAUGGCAUGAGCUUUAGCCAUCCAGGAUAAUCUGCAGUCACAAAUCAGCAGGAGCUGCCUGCCCUUUCAGAUGUCAUGAAAGCCCAGCCUCAGAGAUACCUAUUUAAUACAAGGAAUAUGAACCUUUAAGCCAGUGAAGGAGCCUGGGGAAUGAGAAGGCAGGAAUCUUUUGCCCAUGUUCAUAAGGGACACAAGAGCAAACCUUGCUGUGCCCAGAUGGCAGCACAGAAUAUCUUCACACAGGCUUUGCUUUAGCAGUCCUUCACAUGAUGCUUUUGGAACAAAAGUUAAUACAGUGUGUGCCAUUCCACCGAUGGAUGUUCUUUAUUCUGUGGGUUAGGGAGAAAGCUACGUGGAUUUUUAAGGGUACUGCAAAUAUGGGCACUGUGCCAUCACCAAGAAAGGGAAUAAAAGAGCCUUCUUCACAGACAGCUUCAUGGUACAGAGUGAAGUAACAAUUUGUGGAUGCAUUCCAGAAGAGGAUGUAUUCCUUUUCUCUGCCCCAGAGAAAUAAUGCCGCUGCUGUGAUGCACCAGCACUAAUAUUCAUGAUCACACCAGCAGUGACAUUACUGUCACCUAAUGACAGACUUGGAGGAAGCAUCUGUAAUUAGUCAUUCUCUCUUGUAUUCUGAGCCAUGUCUGGUUUUCUUCUGGCAUCUCUCUUCAGUUCAUGGUUCAUGCCUCCUAGGUUGAGUAUUUUUACGAACCAGUCAUUUAUUUCCUUUUUCUUUCCCUCCUGCUUCCAACUUGGCACUUCAUCUCUGCUAUCCCCAGGAAUGUUCCUGCUGGGAGGUGACUGACUUGAGCACUGAUGGCGAAGGUGGUGAAUUCAGAGACUCAGAACCUGAGGAGUUUCAAGAUCUUCUCAGGUUACAUUUCUAGAGAAAGGAAUUCACUUUCUCUCUACAUGCAUUCAUGGCUAUGGUCAAAACAAGGUGAAAAAUGGAGGAGAAACCUACAAUCACAUUGGCAGCUGCAUCCCAAAUUAGCCAAAGGAAAGGCUAAUUUUUUUUUCAAGUGCCUGAAGCUUAGGGCAAGAUGUGGCUGCCCUGAGGCAAACCCUGAGUGCUUUCACAGUAACACCUGUCCUCAAGACAGCCCUGACAGGUAACAUCAAGGCUGACCAUGCCAGGGAACCUGGAUUCAAGGGUCCAGACCAAAUACCAUCAUAUUUUAUCAUCUUCUUUCACUCUCUAAAAAUAUGAGGAGCUGUGUUCAUUGAUCUUAAUUCUUCCUUCUCUAGACACAGGAAAAGUGUUCUGUUUCAGCCCCUUGAUCCCUGCAUUCUAUUGCUGCUUCCCUUUUCCCAAUAAUUGUUAAAAUACUUUUUUUUUUUCAGUAAAGCAUUUUGUGGUUCCUGUUUCACCCUAUGUUCACAUAAAGGCUUGGUCAUAUGUCCAAAAAAUUGAGAAGAUGCCUGAAAUCUCUCUAAUGUGUACUAUAUGUAAACUCUGUUUUUCCUGUUUUGUUUGGUAUUUCUGCCUGAAGGCAUCAGGAGAAAUCUAAAGGUCAUCUGUUAAAGAACUCAGGCAAGACAAGAAAGCAGUUGACCAGCAAAGAAGGACCUUAAGCACAACAGCCAGAUGCAAAGCUGUGGGAAGAAGCUUCCCAGUUCUUGUACUGGAAAAGAUCUGCUAAGGCUGGGAAAAGGGACAUGGAAGGAUACAUACAGGCCUGUCAAAAGCUCUGCCAUCUGUAAAAGCAGGGGCAUGUUCUGUGUGCUUGGAGGUGCUCUGGGGAAAGCAGGACAAGGCAGCCCUUUUGUGAGGGGAGACGCUGACAGAACAGGGACGGACACAGAGAAGUUUCCUUCUGUGGUUCUGUGCUUGAAGAUGGGAAAGUACAAACAUCUCAGCCACACAAACAACUCAGGCAGGCAGAGUUCAGCAGCAUUGUGGGGAAGGUCAGCUGGAGGGAGAGACAGAGCAGAAAAUGUCACAAGGCAACACAUGAACAGCAGGGCAAAUGUAAAAGCUCUGGAAAGCAAAAAGAAGCAAGUCCAGCAGUGUACUGGAAAACUGGAUCCCAUAGAACCCAAGUGGCUCUGAGGUUCUUCUACCAGCAGGAUGGUGUGUGGCUGCAGAUAAAAAAAGAUAAACCACUUUCCCUUAUAAAGGAAAGGUGAGCAUUGAGUGCCCUCCUCUGGCUUUUCAGAUUCUUUCAGAAAUGUGAGAAAAUUAGGACCAAUUCCAAGAAUGUCCCUCAACUCCAGAUUCUUGGGCUGAGAAACUGAUGGGAAACUCACUCUGGGGAGAAAGAAAAAUAAAGCAAGCAAGCAAGAAAGAAAGAAAGAAAAGAGAGGGAAGGGAAUGAUAAAAAGAAGGGAAGAGAAAGAGAGAGGGAGAGAAUCAGGAUAACAACACCAGGGUGACAGAUUUUAUUUCAGAGACGUCAUUCAUCCAUUUGUCUCUCUCAGGUAUUUCUCAAGUGCCACAGUCCCACUGCAGGAUCUGAGCACUGUUAGCACAACAGAAAUUUGCAGUAUUCUACAUCCCACAGCUAGCAGGAGCAUUUGGGCACCAGCUGGUGACCACAGGUCUGGCAUGGAGUGUGCUAGGGAUGCUCUGUUGGAAUUAGAGUAGCUUGGCUUUUUCCAGCCUCCCACUGGUCCAGAGGUAGGAGCCUGGCUGGUAGAGAAGCCAGUGAGGUAACUGCUGUCAAAGUGAACCUUCUGGUUCUUUCCUUGUUGCACAUCCCUAGUAUGUUCUGAAUUUGUCUUGUGAGUUUAUGCUGCCCACAAAGGGAUCAUGUCCCAGGAAGAAGAAGAACAUACCCUCUAACUUCUGCAGCAGCAAGGGUUUCAGAUUCUCCUCUCAAGCUACAUAGCCACAGAAAGUAAAGCGCAAACAGGCCAGGGGAAAUCAACUAUUUCAGCCAAGUGACACUGAAGAGGCAAAACUAACAGUGGCUGUGGAAAGGAACUCCAGUUAUGUCCUUAGACUGGUGAGCAAUCCCAUCCUAGCUGCUAGGGAACAGCUGUGAACCCUAAGGCCACUUCCAUCUGGCAUAGUUCAAAAUAAAUUAAUAAAGAUCUUAGAAAUAAAUCCAUGUCAAUCCUUUUAAUUUAUAGAGCAUUGCUAAGUAUACACAGUGCUUCACAAAAUAGGGGGAAAGGAAAAUAAAUGCCCUGAGGGUUGAUGUGAAGGGGCAGACACCUAUCACAAGGAAGCUUGAGAAAACAUCUGCACCUUGGCCAUGUGGCAAAUGGCAUCUGAUUCUGGUACCAGGGAAAGAGGAUGGCAGGGCUUUGGGAUGCAGAACUACCCCCUGGAACCCCCUGCACAAUUCCAGUCCAUGCUGGGGGUGUGUUGGGACUGAAAAGCACAGUGUGAGGUAAGGCCAUCACCAUGCCCAGCUGUCUGGAAUCCAGGCAAUCUGGUGUGGUCACACGCUUGUACCCCCACCUUGUACCUUAGACAUGGACCAGGAGCUGCACCUUAGCUCACACCCAGACCACACCCAGGGAUGCUGCCAGCACCCUUGCCCCUCUGGUGUGACAUAAGGAGAAGUUGUGACUGAAGCCCUUCCUGCAGUGGCAGCAUCUAAAAGGCUUCUUCCCCAGUGGGUGAGGGCAGAGCUGUCACUCAAGCAGGUCUCACCCUUGGCUUGCUGCUGCCCUGCAGCAUCCCUGUUCCUCUGAAUCCUUUCUGGGACCAAGUCUCCUGCAGAAGGGACAUAUUCCCGUCACAGCUUGGAGGAGAAGCUGCCCUCAUGAGAAAGUCCCCACAGAGCUCCCCAGCCCAUCUUGCUGGAGACCAGGCUUUCCUUAAAGCUCCAGUUGACUUCACCUCCUCCCUGGGCAGCCUGUCCUAGUGCCUCAUCACCCUUUCAGUGAAGAAAUCCUUCCUGAUGUCCAACCUGAACCUCCCUUGGUGCAGCUUGAGGCCAUUUCCUCUAGUUUUGUCCUUUGUUACCUGGGAGCAGGGCCCAACCUCCACUCAGCUGCUCCCUCCUGUUAGAGCCUGAGCAGAGCCAGAAGGCCCCUCUGAGCCUCCUUUUCUCCAGGCUGAGCUUCCCCAGCUCCCUCAGCCACUCCUCAUCAGAUUUGUGCUCCAGACCCUUCCCCAUCUCGGUUCCCUUCCCCGGACAUGCUCCAGCCCGUCAAUGUCCAUCUCACAGUGAAGGGCUCAGGACUGGACACAGGAUUGGAGGUGUGAUUUCACCAGUGCCCAGUACAGGGCUGUCCUGCAGCCCCUCUUCUGGUAGGCAGCCUUCAGAAGCUCCUUUGCACUGCCACAUUUUUCUGCUGUCUCACCUGACACUCCCUGGCAUCUCUUUAUAUCACAAUUGUCUCUGAUUGGGCCGUCACAAUUCUUCGUUCCACCUCCAGAAAAAAGAGAAGGCCCUGGAGAGACUUUACUGGAGUCUUUCAAUAUAAAUAGUUUCCACCUUUCAUGUAGGCUCCCUUCAGGUAUAGCACAGGGUAAAUCUUAUCUGUCUUUUCAGAAUUUGCCAAUGUUUUAAGAACCCUCUGGCUUUUCAGGUGGGGCAUUUUGCACUUAUCCCAUCGCUUCAUUGGGUUUUAUUCUGCCAGCCAGCCCUGACAAGACUGCGAUGGAUGUCUGCCUGCAUUUGAGUGCAAUGCAGUUUCCUUGAGUACCCAGUUGGUGGCAGAUUUGGAGUAUAUAAAAUCCAUCCUUUCAACCUGUUUUGCAAUGGAACCAUUUUUUUUCUACAUGGGCUAAAGAUGAAAUUGUUACUCUUUCUUUCCUCUGACAACAUUUAAAUGGCUUCCAUUUAAAAUGGUAAAUCUCUGCUUUCCAGUAUAAUUAGUCUCUAAAUCCAAGUUAUCUUCUAUCUGCUUUUCUUAUUCAAUUUCUGCUAAAUCAAAAUUUAUUGACUAGACUUGUUGGGGAAGGGCUAUUUUUGACUUUGUUUGAAGUAACUAAUUAAGUGUUAUUGAUUUAAA